rnacentral:tRNA from 1 species
AUUUAUAUAGUUUAAUUAAAACAUUACAUUUUCAUUGUAAAAAUAAAAAAAAAUUACUUUUUAUAAAUA